rnacentral:rRNA from 1 species
UACGUAGGGUGCAGGCGUUAAUCGGAAUUACUGGGCGUAAAGCGUGCGCAGGCGGCUUCCUAAGUCAGAUGUGAAAUCCCCGGGCUCAACCUGGGAACUGCGUUUGAAACUGGGAGGCUAGAGUGCGGCAGAGGGAGGUGGAAUUCCACGUGUAGCAGUGAAAUGCGUAGAUAUGUGGAGGAACACCGAUGGCGAAGGCAGCCUCCUGGGCCAGCACUGACGCUCAUGCACGAAAGCGUGGGGAGCAAACAGGAUUAGAUACCCUGGUAGUCCACGCCCUAAACUAUGUCGACUAGUUGUUGGGGGAGUCUGUCCCUCAGUAACGUAGCUAACGCGUGAAGUCGACCGCCUGGGGAGUACGGUCGCAAGAUUA